rnacentral:ribozyme from 13 species
GAGAGAAAGAGAAGAAGGAGGAUAAGACGAUUAGAAGGAGUGAUGUUGUGUUGUAACAAUCUUUCUUCUCUUCUCUCUUCUUUCUCUUUCUCUUUCUCUUUCUCUUUCUCU